rnacentral:tRNA from 1 species
AAGGUUUUAAGUUAAUUAAACUAAUAGCCUUCAAAGCUAUAAAUAAAAUAUUCAAUUUUAAACCUUA